rnacentral:rRNA from 1 species
GUGUCAGCCGCCGCGGUAAUACGUAGGGUGCAAGCGUUGUCCGGAUUUAUUGGGCGUAAAGGGCUCGUAGGCGGUCCGUCACGUCGGAAGUGAAAACCUAGAGCUUAACUCUGGGCCUGCUUUCGAUACGGGCGAACUUGAGUUCGGUAGGGGAGACUGGAAUUCCUGGUGUAGCGGUGGAAUGCGCAGAUAUCAGGAGGAACACCAAUGGCGAAGGCAGGUCUCUGGGCCGAUACUGACGCUGAGGAGCGAAAGCGUGGGGAGCGAACAGGAUUAGAUACCCGCGUAGUCC